rnacentral:lncRNA from 1 species
UUGGUCGAAUACCAUGCCCAAUGGGCUUUGAGGAGGCUGCUCGAGGCCAUAUUAGGAAUUAGGGUUCCUCUUUCGAGGCCAUUCGAGCUUUUGAGGCCAGGGUCAGAAGGUUUAGGGUUUUGGGUAUAAUUUGGGUGAAGAUUUUGUGUGAUUUCGAGUUUUUAUGGAAAAGAUAUGAAUGUUCAAAGAUAAGGUGUCAAUUUCAUACCUAUUGUCACUUCUUUUGGGCAUCACAUACGAAUACGGAGAGCAACGGAAGAUCGGCGACUGGAUUUGGAGGGAGCAUUUUCUCGGCUACACAUUCUACUUACUGUAUAGUGAAUUCUAAGAUUGAAUGAAGGAGUUAUGAGGCGUUGAAGACAGCACUUGUAAUUUGAAGGCAGUAAGUAUAUCGUUUUGUUGCUAGUUAUGGGUGAAGCCAUAUCUUGAGUUUCUGGACGAAUUUUUGGCUCAAAAUUUCCACAAGUGUGUGUUAUUAGGUUAAAAAGCUUUAGAUCAAAGUUUCAUAGUAUUUGAAUAAUUACUUUGUGAGAUAUGAAGGAAGUUGUACACGGGUGUAAAAAAGCUAGGGUUUGAAGCUACAGUUAGGGUUUUCAAGAUAUCACAAGAUCCAAGACGAAUUUACGGUUGAAUUUUGGUGUGGUAGUUGCUAAAGAUAUAUUAGUACUCCAUGUAAAAUUUGGAGUUGUUUAGACG